GUGUUUGCUUCAGCAGCACGUGUACUAAAAUUGGAACAAUACAGAGAAAAUUAGCAUGUCCCCUGUGCAAGGAUGGCAUGCAAAUCUGUGAAGAGUUCCAUAUUUUA